AAGAAGUAGUUAUAUCUAAUAUCGAUGCUGAGAAAUAUAAGGAUUUGGUAAAGAAGUGAGUGCGGUAACAUCUCUUUAUUUUACGAAUACAAAGUUGUUCUUUUUUAAAGAAUUAUAUUUUUUAUGGAGGAAGAAAUAGUUAUAGUUAAUAUCAAUGCCGAGGAAUACAAGGAUUUGAUAAAGAAAUGAGUGCAGUAACAUCUUUUUAUUUUACGAAUACAAAGUUGUUCUUUUUUAAA
rnacentral:lncRNA from 1 species